rnacentral:rRNA from 1 species
UUAGUGGCGGACGGGUGGGUAACGCGUGGAAAACCUGCCGUAUACUGGGGGAUAACACUUAGAAAUAGGUGCUAAUACCGCAUAAGCGCACAGCUUCGCAUGAAGCGGUGUGAAAAACUCUGGUGGUAUACGAUGGUUCCGCGUCUGAUUAGCUAGUUGGUGGGGUAAUGGCCUACCAAGGCAACGAUCAGUAGCCGGCCUGAGAGGGUGAACGGCCACAUUGGGACUGAGACACGGCCCAAACUCCUACGGAAGGCAGCAG